GAUGAACGCUGGCGGCGUGCCUAAUACAUGCAAGUCGAGCGAACAGAUGAGGAGCUUGCGCCCUUGCCGGUAGCGGGGGACGGGCGAGUGACGCGUGGAUCACCUACUUCUAUGACGGGGAUAACAACGUGAAACAGGUUACACUACCGGAGAAUAUAUUGAACCGCAGGGAGCAAUAGAGAAAGGCGGCUUUGGUGUCUGAUAGAGCUGGAUCCGCGCCGCAUUAGCUGGGUGGUAAGGGAACGGCCUACCAAGGCAACGAAGCGUAGCCGACCUGAGAGGAUGAUCGGCCACACUGGAACUGAGACACGGUCCAGACUCCUACGGGAGGCAGCAGUAGGGAAUCUUCGGCAAUGGGCGAAAGCCUGACGCAGCAAUGCCGCGUGAGUGAUGAAGGUCUUCGGGUUGUAAAGCUCUUUUGUUAGGAAAGAACAACUGUGUAAUUAACCAUGGACGUCUUGACGGUACCCAAUCAGAAAGCACCGGCUAACUACGUG
rnacentral:rRNA from 1 species